UACGGAGGGGGCUAGCGUUGUUCGGAAUUACUGGGCGUAAAGCGCACGUAGGCGGCUUUGUAAGUUAGAGGUGAAAGCCCGGGGCUCAACUCCGGAAUUGCCUUUAAGACUGCAUCGCUUGGACGUCGGAGAGGUGAGUGGAAUUCCGAGUGUAGAGGUGAAAUUCGUAGAUAUUCGGAAGAACACCAGUGGCGAAGGCGACUCACUGGACGACUGUUGACGCUGAGGUGCGAAAGCGUGGGGAGCAAAC
rnacentral:rRNA from 1 species